CAGUCGCCACGGGAAUACGGAGGGUGCAAGCGUUAUCCGGAUUUAUUGGGUUUAAAGGGUCCGUAGGCGGACUUAUAAGUCAGUGGUGAAAGCCUGUCGCUUAACGAUAGAACUGCCAUUGAUACUGUAAGUCUUGAGUAUAUUUGAGGUAGCUGGAAUAAGUAGUGUAGCGGUGAAAUGCAUAGAUAUUACUUAGAACACCAAUUGCGAAGGCAGGUUACCAAGAUAUAACUGACGCUGAGGGACGAAAGCGUGGGUAGCGAACAGGAUUAGAUACCCGUGUAGUCCCUGUCUCUUAUAC
rnacentral:rRNA from 1 species